GAGACCUAAGCCUGAAAAUCAGCUGCGACACACGGAGUUUUUGUUGAAGAAAGACGGAAAGAGCGACAUUUGUUCUUGGGCAGACUUACCAAUACUUGAUGAAAUUAAUUCUAGUUUUGAGGAAGUAGUGAAAAACUAAACGGCGAAGAUAGAGAUGAGUUGUUCCGUUCAUAAAGUCAAUCAAGUCGAAGCUAAGAUCGAAAAGCUGAAAAUUAAAGACGAAAAAAUUGAGGCAAACGGAAGCUGAAAUUCUACAACUAUAGGAGAAAAAGAUCAAGAUCAAAAUGCCUUGCGAGAGUCACUUGGUUAAUGGUGUUGUGUUCUUAUGAUGUUGUAACAUGUAGAUUGCAAAAUGGGCGUCUUAUACCCCGAAAUAUAAGCAAUUUGCCAUAACUAACUGUACACUUUUCUACUGUAAUGGAUGGUAUAAAUGAAUGAAUAAUACUUCAAAGUUUUAUUACUCAC